CUUAUAUUGGAAGCAUAAGGAGACAUUUAAUAAAGCCUACUUUCGUCACCAGCUCUAAAUCAUCCUUCUGGUUCGAGGUUUAAAAGCUUGGUGGUCAUUCUCCCAGUGCAGUUGGAGAAGCAUCCUGACCCCUGCAGUGUCCUGUGCGGAUGAGCGCCUUCCUGCACUGAGGGACCCUGGAGAUGGAGAAGAUUGGCCAGAGAACCGAGAACAUGAAGCUAACAGAUAAUAAAAUGUUUCCAGGUAUCUUCAAGAACAAGAUAAGGCUUGCUGCUCAUCGGUCUCUCAAGCAUCAAUGUGGUCUGUGGAAAAGAGAAGAUGGAGAAAGAUACUAUAUACAUGCACAGUCUUACAUCCCAGAUAAUGAUUACUGAACUUAAAUGUGGCAAUUAGAUGUUUUAUUAGAUGGAAAGACCAAAAAAGGAGAAAUAAUUCAUACACCUUAAACAUUUCCACAUGUUAUCACAUGUAGCAGUUAUAAAGCUACUAAAACUGUUUCUAAAAUCUAUCAACUUAAUUAUGCAGGGGUGACAUUUUGUAUUACUCCAAGAGCCAUCUUGUUGCAUAAAUCAAGGAAGAAAUUUGUUAUUGUGAGGAACGGUUUAAAAGUUUUGUCACAGAUUCAAAUGGAAAUUUAUACCUGGGCUUUGACUAGGCACUUCUAAUACAUAUAGUAUAAUCUGAAGUAGUCAGUUGUAGGUCCAACUGUACAUUAAGUAUAUUUGUCCUGCUGGCUGGUAAACCUUUGACAAAGUGUGAAAUCUUUUACAACCGGUCCUGAGUUUUCAGCAGUCUUAGGCUUUUCAAGAAAAAAUAGAUGCACUGGUCUCAAAAUGAAAAAUCUAUUUGUCAACAUUUGGCAACGGUAGAGCUAAAUUGCGACUAAUGGGAAUUUUCUCUAUUAUGAAUAAGUUGGUUCAGUAAGAAAACAUUUAGCAUUCAGGAGGUCGAGUCAGGGGUUAGCCAGAAAAAGGUUUGAGCCACACAACAACACAGACCAAGUGAACAUCACAAGCGUUGUACGGUGCGCUGAAAGGUCAAAGAGAUUAGAAAAGGGCUUCAUUAUCGCAGCACACUUUCCAUUUGUCAUCUUAAAAUGCAUCAAGUGUGAAGGUCAGGAGCCAUUAACGUCCAGAAUUGCAUUCAGGGUCAGUUUGAGGUCCUAUCUAAUGUAGAACCUACAUCUUCAAUAGGAAGAAAGAGCAACCAGGAGUUUUUCUUACAACUAAACCUCACACCAGUUUUCCUCAGGUUAUUUACAAUUUGUGUUUUUAAGUGUGAAACAAACAAACAUAUGAGGCUGUAUGUUUAAAGAUUUGGUUAACACUGAUCAUUGCAGCUUUUCUAUAAAAAUCAAGGCUUAUAUUUUUAUAACUUAAGUUCCAGAUUUUUAUUGAAACCAAAGCAGAUACAGCAAAAUGACUGACUUGGAACAGCCCAAAAGCAAGUGGUGAAAUCUCAGAGACUUGGGGGGGAGAGGGGGAUAAAAAAAAACUCAAACAAACAAAAAAAAACUGACAUUGAAAACCAUUCUGCUGCAAUUGAGGUUGAUUGUGUCUUUAAAAGGUGGUGCUACCAAUUCCCCUGGUUUUACUCAAAAUAAAAUGAUUUUGAAACUCAAUAUGUGCACACAGCAGAUAAAGAUAUAUAUUAUACAUAUAUAAAUACAUAGACAAACAUACAUAGAUGUUUGUUACAAGCCUCAAAAUUAAUUAUGUAGUAAAUGUGGAAAUGGACAAUGUGUUCUUAGAUUUAAGCCAGUAAAUAUCGGCUAAUGUUCCCAAUGCUUCUGUGUGUAAUAUUGGUACAUUUUCUUUCCCAGACUAUUCUGCAACUUGAUGCAAACAUUUUCUUGAAAAGCUUUAAAAAAAUUCUUCAGAGAAGUGCUGACAAACCAUUUCAUCACACGCAGAGAAACCUGUUAUUUACUGAGCGAUGAUGAGACUGAAAGCAUUGUGACAGUGUCUGAACUUCAGUGGAGGUCUGAUGGAGCUGCUGAGAGCUGAAUGGGAGCUUAUCGUGACUAACCAAAGGCAGAUAUGGAUUGUCUGUGCCCUAUGUGGCUAUUCAAAAUGACAAACCUCGCAACUUUCCAUAAAAAUGCUAAUAGGGAUUACGCAGAGAGCCUCCAGCACUUUCCAGCCACAGAAAGAGGCCAUUAUCUGGAAAUUUAGUGAACAUUAGUCAGAUGCAGAUUCUUCCCUCCUUGCUCUGUCACUAGGUGGGGGAAUUAAUGCGCUUUAGUUGCAUAAUAAGUGAGAUAGGGCUUUUUAAUGUCUCAGAUGCAGUCAGGUUAGUGAUUGACAUGUUGAAUCAUUUUCAGCAGAGAACCAAGAGGAGGAACUAACCCCAACCACAUACACCACCACGACCGUCACAUUGCAUUACCGACUCAGCAGCACAGUAUCAUCGCAUCGAAUUAGCGUUAAUGAACACAAGCGAGUCGACUGAGAGAGAUAAUCAAACUUUUAUUAAAUGACUUAAUCUUCUGUACAUGCGUUAAGUAAUGGAAAGAGAAAUAGAUCGGUGAUGUUGGUCUGUAAGGGGCUGAUCUAUCACCCCAAAAGGUGUGAAUACAUCGCCGCUUUAAGAUUACCUGUUGCAGCAAGGAGCUCCCUGGAGUAAAAUGAUCUUAAUAUACAGCACCUUGCAAAAGUAUUUAUACCUAUUUUCAUAUUUUUGUCACGCUAUGUGAAGUACAGAGAAAAUUGUGUGUAUUUCUAACAUAUUUAUAGGACAAAAGUUGAAAAGUGUGGCAUGCAUUUGCAUUCAGCUCCCCUUUUCUCUGAUAGCUAAAUAAAAUCUAGUGAAACCAAACUGUCUUUAGAAGUCAAUAACCAGAAAUUGUGUAAUUUAAUCUGUGCAUAUAUAGUUAUUCUUGUACAAAUGUUGACUUUUAUAUUUAGAGGGGGAUGACGGGUAAAUACAAAUGCACUCCAGACUUUUGAAAUUUUCAUUUGUAAAAACAUUUGCAAGACUUUGUGUUGCUCCGUCUCAAAAUCCCAAUGAAAGAUGUUGCUGUUACUGGUUGUGAUGUAACAGAAUGUGGGAAAGUUCACAGCUUAUGAAUGUUUUUGCAAGGCCAAGACUGUUCCUUAACUAAACAAAGCAGAUUCAGUUUGUUCCAGCAAUUCAUCACAGGAAGUGGUUCUUUUGCAGCUUGCAACAAAAAAAACCUAUAAAAAUCUGUAUUAACAUGUAAAUGCCCCAAAAGCUUUUAGACACCAACAAGAAUAUGAGUCAAGACGCUAAUAAAAUGCGUAAAGCUCAGCGUCUUCAUUUCAUUUGGACAUAUUUGCAAAUUAAAACAUUUAAAGAGGCUUCUGCUGGAUUGAGAUGUACCAAGAAGUUAUUAAAAAUUGUAGUAACUGGAAUGCCAUUUACUUAAGAAAGCACCAGGCUUCAACAAGUUUGAAAGAAGGAAAAGAAAAACGUUUCAUGCACUUCAAAGCACUACGCCCACUUUGGCUGGCGAUACUGUUAUUUAAUUUGGUCCAAAUGCUGUAAAUUCUUUUGUAAAAAGAUUUUUUGUAACUAAACAGGUUUUCUUGUGCCUAGUUAUUCCAGCACGUACAUUCAAAGUUUAUUUCUUUUAAGAUAUUGACAGAAAUCUUGACAAUGAACAAUCUAAACAAGCUAUGUACAAUACAUUUACAUUAAAUAUGUAUAAGAUGAUAGACAACCUCCACCACUCAGCCUAGAUUUCACAACAAUUGGUAUACAUGUGUUUUUGUUUUGAACUCUCAAAAGGUUUUAGGUCAAUUUGCCCCUUUUUGUCAUUUCAUACCAAUAUGUGCCACUUCACCCAAUGCUCUUUAAAUUUUAAACCCAUAUCCUAAAGCCACUUGGCAUUGGUUUAUACUUCUUUAUUAUUUUUAGAAAUUAAAAA